rnacentral:rRNA from 1 species
UACGGAGGGUGCAAGCGUUAUCCGGAAUCACUGGGUUUAAAGGGUGCGUAGGCGGCUUGAUACGUCAGGGGUGAAAGCUUCCCGCUCAACGGGAGAACUGCCUUUGAUACUGUCAGGCUCGAAUUGGGUUGAGGCCGGCGGAAUGUGGCAUGUAGCGGGGAAAUGCUUAGAUAUGCCAUAGAACACCGAGUGCGAAGGCAGCCGGCCAAGCCUUGAUUGACGCUGAGGCACGAAAGCGUGGGGAGCGAACAGG